AACGAACGCUGGCGGUAUGCUUAACACAUGCAAGUCGAACGAACAAAAUUGGGGCUUGCUCCAAUUUUAGUGAGUGGCAAACGGGUGAGUAACACGUGGGAAUCUACCUAUCAGUACGGAAUAACAUUUAGAAACAGAUGCUAAUACCGUAUAUUCUCCAAGGAGGAAAGAUUUAUCGCUGAUAGAUGAGCCCGCGCAAGAUUAGGUAGUUGGUAGGGUAAUGGCCUACCAAGCCGACGAUCGUUAGCUGGUCUGAGAGGAUGAUCAGCCACACUGGGACUGAGACACGGCCCAGACUCCUACGGGAGGCAGCAGUGGGGAAUAUUGGACAAUGGGCGAAAGCCUGAUCCAGCAAUACCGCGUGAAUGAUGAAGGCCUUAGGGUUGUAAAGUUCUUUUAGUUGGAAAGAUAAUGACGGUACCAACAGAAAAAGCCCCGGCUAACUCCGUGCCAGCCGCCGCGGUAA
rnacentral:rRNA from 1 species